CGCGGGGUGGAGCAGUUCGGUAGCUCGCUGGGCUCAUAACCCAGAGGUCGCAGGUUCGAAUCCUGUCCCCGCUACC
rnacentral:tRNA from 1 species